rnacentral:misc_RNA from 1 species
AACGCACAUUGCGCCCUUUGGUAUUCCAUAGGGCAUGCCUGUUCGAGCGUCGUCUCAAACCUUCAAGCCUAGCUUGGUGUUGGGUGACUGUCCCGCAUUGCCGCGCGGACUCGCCUCAAAGUCAUUGGCAGCAGACUUGGUAGCUAAUUGCGCAGCACAUCGCGCCGGAAGCUCCCUGUCCGCUAUCCACAAGCACAAUCUCAUCAGUUUGACCUCGGAUCAGGUAGGGAUACCCGCUGAACUUAA